UCCUCGGUAGUAUAGUGGUCAGUAUCCCCGCCUGUCACGCGGGAGACCGGGGGGUUCAAUUCCCCGCCGGGGAG
rnacentral:tRNA from 1 species